CCUGUGGCUGGGGGUGAAAGGCCAAUCAAACCGGGAGAUAGCUGGUUCUCCCCGAAAGCUAUUUAGGUAGCGCCUCGUGAAUUCAUCUCCGGGGGUAGAGCACUGUUUCGGCUAGGGGGCCAUCCCGGCUUACCAACCCGAUGCAAACUGCGAAUACCGGAGAAUGUUAUCACGGGAGACACACGGCGGGUGCUAACGUCCGUCGUGAAGAGGGAAACAACCCAGACCGCCAGCUAAGGUCCCAAAGUCAUGGUUAAGUGGGAAACGAUGUGGGAAGGCCCAGACAGCCAGGAUGUUGGCUUAGAAGCAGCCAUCAUUUAAAGAAAGCGUAAUAGCUCACUGGUCGAGUCGGCCUGCGCGGAAGAUGUAACGGGGCUAAACCAUGCACCGAAGCUGCGGCAGCGAACGUAUCACCCAAGACAACUUUACGGAGUUGACGAUUGACGGAGCGAAGCGACGUCAAAGCGUUCAUUAAAGUCGAGUUGGCUUAGGGAUACGUUCGUUGGGUAGGGGAGCGUUCUGUAAGCCUGUGAAGGUGUGUCGUGAGGCAUGCUGGAGGUAUCAGAAGUGCGAAUGCUGACAUA
rnacentral:rRNA from 1 species